CGGCGAACGGGUGAGUAACACGUAGGUGAUCUGCCCAUCAGACGGGGACAACGAUUGGAAACGAUCGCUAAUACCGGAUAGGACGAAAGUUUAAAGGUGCUUCUGGCACCGCUGAUGGAUGAGCCUGCGGCGCAUUAGCUAGUUGGUAGGGUAAAGGCCUACCAAGGCGACGAUGCGUAGCCGACCUGAGAGGGUGAUCGGCCACAUUGGGACUGAGACACGGCCCAGACUCCUACGGGAGGCAGCAUG
rnacentral:rRNA from 1 species